ACGUAUGCAACAGACAUGAAAGUGAUAUAAAAAGAAUAAAAAUGCUAAGAAAAGUAGCUCGAAUGUUUCUCCUUUUUGUGCACGAGUGAUUUUUAUAUAGGUGUCCUUUCGACCUGUUUCUUUCUCG
rnacentral:ribozyme from 11 species